GACGAACGCUGGCGGCGUGCCUAAUACAUGCAAGUCGAGCGAAGUUUUUCUGGUGCUUGCACUAGAAAAACUUAGCGGCGAACGGGUGAGUAACACGUAAAGAACCUGCCUCAUAGACUGGGACAACUAUUGGAAACGAUAGCUAAUACCGGAUAACAGCAUUAACUGCAUGGUUGAUGUUUAAAAGUUGGUUUUGCUAACACUAUGAGAUGGCUUUGCAGUGCAUUAGCUAGUUGGUGGGGUAAAGGCCUACCAAGGCGACGAUGCAUAGCCGACCUGAGAGGGUGACCGGCCACACUGGGACUGAGACACGGCCCAGACUCCUACGGGAGGCAGCAGUAGGGAAUCUUCCGCAAUGGGCGAAAGCCUGACGGAGCAACGCCGCGUGAGUGAAGAAGGAUUUCGGUUCGUAAAGCUCUGUUGUUAGGGAAGAAUGAUUGUGUAGUAACUAUACACAGUAGAGACGGUACCUAACCAGAAAGCCACGGCUAACUACGUG
rnacentral:rRNA from 1 species